UGCUCUUUCGCGCUCUCUUAACCCGGUAUCUCUCUUCCUCCCCCUCUUCUUUCUCCAGCCUCUUCUCCAGGCUGCUGUCCCCGAGCCCCACCACUGCCGCCCGGACCCUCAAAGGGGCUCCGACUCCCUAUCUCCCUCCGUCAGUUUCUCCCUCCCGCGUCUCCCCUCUGUCCCUACUCAUCUCAGCAGGGGGGGGGGUGCUGUGGCUGAGGGCAGGCAGCCCCCCAUCUCCUGUCUCUCCCGUCUCACUCUCCUUGUCCUGUUUUAUCUCUGCUCUUGUCCCUCUCUCCUGUCCCUGACCCGUCCCUCCUAUUUCUAGCUUCUGGCUCUCCCCUUCGCUCCCCAUGUCUGAGGUUCCUGGCUGGGGUCCCCCGGGACUCCCCCACAGGCUUUGUGCAGUGGGGGGAGACCUCUGUGACACCCCUUUUCUCUGUUUCCUAUCUGCCCCGACUGUGGACACCGAGCGGAGCGGAGGAAGCAGGCUGUCCCAGGCCCAGGAAGGAGGCGCGUGGGGAACAGACGCGGAGACGCAGCCGCCAGCAGCAAGCACCCUCGGGGCUCCUAGUUGCCAGAAGAAAAGUCACCUGCCAGGACCGAGGCUCCAGGACCUUCCCCGACCCACAGCGCCACCCCCCCAGAAGGCAUCCGAGCGGGACCUGACCACCACCUGGCGGCAGAGGCCGGAACUGCAGCCCUGCGGAGGAGAGGCUGAAGGGGGGUGGGGGGCUCUGUAAGCCUCUGUAACAACUAAACGCUUAUAAACAUACUUCUCAAGCUUC